rnacentral:rRNA from 1 species
GGCUUAGAGUUUGAUCAUGGCUCAGGACGAACGCUGGCGGCGUGCCUAAUACAUGCAAGUCGAACGCUUUUUUCAAUCAUCGUAGCUUGCUACACCGAUUGAAAAUUGAGUGGCGAACGGGUGAGUAACACGUGGGUAACCUGCCCAAAAGAGGGGGAUAACACUUGGAAACAGGUGCUAAUACCGCAUAACCAUGAUGACCGCAUGGUCAUUAUGUAAAAGAUGGUUUCGGCUAUCACUUUUGGAUGGACCCGCGGCGUAUUAACUUGUUGGUGGGGUAACGGCCUACCAAGGUAAUGAUACGUAGCCGAACUGAGAGGUUGAUCGGCCACAUUGGGACUGAGACACGGCCCAAACUCCUACGGGAGGCAGCAGUAGGGAAUCUUCCACAAUGGGCGCAAGCCUGAUGGAGCAACGCCGCGUGAGUGAAGAAGGUCUUCGGAUCGUAAAACUCUGUUGUUAGAGAAGAACAUGCGAGAGAGUAACUGUUCUUGUAUUGACGGUAUCUAACCAGAAAGCCACGGCUAACUACGUGCCAGCAGCCGCGGUAAUACGUAGGUGGCAAGCGUUGUCCGGAUUUAUUGGGCGUAAAGGGAACGCAGGCGGUCCUUUAAGUCUGAUGUGAAAGCCUUCGGCUUAACCGAAGAAUUGCAUUGGAAACUGGAGGACUUGAGUGCAGAAGAGGAGAGUGGAACUCCAUGUGUAGCGGUGAAAUGCGUAGAUAUAUGGAAGAACACCAGUGGCGAAAGCGGCUCUCUGGUCUGUAACUGACGCUGAGGUUCGAAAGUGUGGGUAGCAAACAGGAUUAGAUACCCUGGUAGUCCACACCGUAAACGAU